rnacentral:rRNA from 1 species
CCAAAGAUUUAUCGCUGGAAGAUGGCCUCGCGUCUGAUUAGCUAGUAGGCGGGGUAACGGCCCACCUAGGCGACGAUCAGUAGCCGGACUGAGAGGUUGACCGGCCACAUUGGGGCUGAGAUACGGCCCAGACUCCUACGGAAGGCAGCAG